UAUGAAUGUAAAUUGUAAACCCCGUAUUAUUAUUAGUUAUGGUCUUUAAAAUUAAAGAUUUUGGCGGUAUUUUAGUCUAUUCAGAGGAACCUGUUCUAUAAUUGAUAGUCCACAAUUAGAUUUACCAGUAUUUUAAAUUUAUAUAUCGUCGUAGUUUGAAUAUUUUAUUAGAAUUUAAAUGUUCAUGAUUUUUUAUGGGGAAAGAAAAUCAGAUCAAGGUGUAGUUUAUAUAUUGGUAGAAAUGGGUUACAUUAAGUUUAUUUGUGAAUAAAUAUUUUGAAAAUAUUUUGAAAUUGGAUUUGAAGGUAAUUUUUUUUUCCUAUUAAAAAUGAUUUUAGCCCUAAAAUAUGC
rnacentral:rRNA from 1 species